rnacentral:rRNA from 1 species
AGGACGAACGCUGGCGGCGUGCUUAACACAUGCAAGUCGAACGGUAAGGCCCUUCGGGGUACACGAGUGGCGAACGGGUGAGUAACACGUGGGUGAUCUGCCCUGCACUUCGGGAUAAGCUUGGGAAACUGGGUCUAAUACCGGAUAUGACUACGAAUCGCAUGGUUUGUGGUGGAAAGCUUUUGCGGUGUGGGAUGGGCCCGCGGCCUAUCAGCUUGUUGGUGGGGUGAUGGCCUACCAAGGCGACGACGGGUAGCCGGCCUGAGAGGGUGUCCGGCCACACUGGGACUGAGAUACGGCCCAGACUCCUACGGGAGGCAGCAGUGGGGAAUAUUGCACAAUGGGCGCAAGCCUGAUGCAGCGACGCCGCGUGAGGGAUGACGGCCUUCGGUUGUAAACCUCUUUCAGUAUCGACGAAGCGCAAGUGACGGUAGGUACAGAAGAAGGACCGGCCAACUACGUGCCAGCAGCCGCGGUAA